ensembl:lncRNA
CGGCUGCGACGGCGCACAAGCGCGGGCGAGAGGAGCUACCCCACGUCCGAGGUCAGGGGCAGAAGCCAGGAGGACCCCGUGCCCGAGGGGCAGCGGCCAAGAGGAGCUACCCCGCGUCCGAGGUCAGGGGCUGCGGCCAAAAGUGCCAGGCUGCAACGGCUCAUGAGCGGCCGUGAGGAGCUACUCCCCGCCGGAGGCCAAGGGCGGCAGCCGGGAGGAGUUACCCCACACCCGAGGCCAGGGAUGGCGGCUGGGAGGAGCUACCCCAGGGCCAAGGAGCAGUGGCUGCCCGGGCGCAGGAGGGCCAAGAGGAGCUACUCCACGUUCAAGGUCAGGAGGGGCGGCGGUGAGGAGAUACCCCACGACCAAGGUGAAGAAACCGAGGCUCAGAGAGGUCACCAAACUCGUGCAACUUGCACAGCUGAUAUGUAGAUGACAUGGCAUUUGAUUACCAAGUCAUCUGACUCCAAGUCUGCUGCUCAUGAUGCUGCAUCUCAUUGCCUCCAAGGUGCUGUACUCGGAGGGAGGAGUCUCCAUAAGCUAAAACUAAGCAAGACUGAUGAAAUGGAGUCAAUUUUAUUCCACCUCUCUAGCUGAGGACAGAACAGCUGCUCUCCAGUUCACAUUUGCCCUGGAAGACAAGGACACAGGUGGUGUCCUGGAGGCCUGUGGCAGCCAUGGUAUGAUGACAAGAUCAUUGGAUUAGGAACUACAACACACAAGUUCAGUUCCCAGGCUUCCAGAACUUUUUAACUUUGGUAUACUGGGCAAGUCCCUUUACUUCUGUGAGCCUUCAUUUUCUCAUCUGUAGCAUGGAGCAGUAAUAGCUCUCAAAAGAUGAAAUUUUUGCAUGAACGUCAAGUGGGAUUAUCAUUAUAACUAUUACACAACUGAAAAUUGCCUAUUUCAUGUUUGUGUAGAAAGAAGAAACAAACAGUGGUUCUGUGAAUAGUGGCUUAGUCAGUUUCAGCUGGUAUCUGAAAGUGGUAGAUGGCCUCUAGUGAUUCUCACUUCCUGGCAUUUAUGCCCUUGGAUAUUCCUCCACUGAGCUGUGCUGACCUGUGUACCCAAUAGGAUAUUGCAGAAAUGACAGAGUGUGACUUCUGAAGCUAGGUCAUAAAAGAAGACAUUGUUACUCUGCCUUCCUCUUUUGCAUCACUCAUUCUGGGGGAAGCCAGCUGCUAUGUCAUGAGGACACUCAAGUGUCCUUAUGCAGAGGUCCUCGGAGUGAGGAACUGAGGUCAACUGGCAGCACCAACUAGCCACCCAUGUAAGAG